rnacentral:misc_RNA from 1 species
UCCUGACAUCAAACAUAGGCUCUACCGCAAUAUCCCAGGGUAGACGUGGCAUAGGUUUCAUGCUUGAGGAAGAUGGGGAAUCAAGUUCAUACUCCGCAAUGAAAGCCCUUGUGACGGAAGAAUUGAAGGCCUAUUUUCGUCCCGAGCUCCUGAACAGGAUAGACGAGGUUGUCGUCUUCCGCUCCCUCGAGAAGACACAGAUGUUGAAGAUUCUGAACAUAAUGUUGCAAGAAGUAAAGAG